UACAGAGGUCUCAAGCGUUGUUCGGAUUCAUUGGGCGUAAAGAGCUCGUAGGCGGUCUGUUGCGUCCGCUGUGAAAACUCGGGGCUUAACCCCGAGCCUGCAGUGGAUACGGGCAGACUAGAGGUAGGUAGGGAGAAUGGAAUUCCCGGUGUAGCGGUGAAAUGCGCAGAUAUCAGGAGGAACACCCGUAGCGAAGGCGGCACCUCUGGGCCGAUUCUGACACUGAGGAGCGAAAGCGUGGGGAGCGAACAGG
rnacentral:rRNA from 1 species